GAUGAAGAACGUAGCGAAAUGCGAUAAGUAAUGUGAAUUGCAGAAUUCAGUGAAUCAUCGAAUCUUUGAACGCACAUUGCGCCCGCCAGUAUUCUGGCGGGCAUGCCUGUACGAGCGUCAUUUCAACCAUCAAGCCCCAGGCUUGUGUUGGGGACCUGCGGCUGCCGCAGGCCCUGAAAACCAGUGGCGGGCUCGCUGUCACACCGGGCGUAGUAGAUUUUAUCUCGCUCAGGGCGUGCUGCGGGUUCCGGCCGUUAAAAAGCCUUUUUUACCCAAGGUUGACCUCGGAUCAGGUAGGAAGACCCGCUGAACUUAAGCAUAUCAAUAAGCGGAGGA
rnacentral:misc_RNA from 1 species